CUGCUGCCUCCCGUAGGAGUCUGGGCCGUGUCUCAGUCCCAAUGUGGCCGUUCAACCUCUCAGUCCGGCUACUGAUCGUCGCUUUGGUGGGCCGUUACCCCGCCAACUGGCUAAUCAGACGCGAGCUCAUCCUUGGACGAUAAAUCUUUGGCAGCAAAAUCAUGCGGUCCUGCUGCAUUAUGCGGUAUUAGCAGUCGUUUCCGGCUGUUAUCCCCCAUCCAAAGGCAGAUUGCUCACGUCG
rnacentral:rRNA from 1 species